AUUGAACGCUGGCGGCAGGCCUAACACAUGCAAGUCGAGCGGUAGCACAGAGAGCUUGCUCUCGGGUGACGAGCGGCGGACGGGUGAGUAAUGUCUGGGAAACUGCCUGAUGGAGGGGGAUAACUACUGGAAACGGUAGCUAAUACCGCAUAAUGUCGCAAGACCAAAGAGGGGGACCUUCGGGCCUCUUGCCAUCAGAUGUGCCCAGAUGGGAUUAGCUAGUAGGUGGGGUAACGGCUCACCUGGGCGACGAUCCCUAGCUGGUCUGAGAGGAUGACCAGCCACACUGGAACUGAGACACGGUCCAGACUCCUACGGGAGGCAGCAGUGGGGAAUAUUGCACAAUGGGCGCAAGCCUGAUGCAGCCAUGCCGCGCGUAUGAAGAAGGCCUUCGGGUUGUAAAGUACUUUCAGCGGGGAGGAAGGUGCUGAGGUUAAUAACCUCAGCAAUUGACGUUACCCGCAGAAGAAGCACCGGCUAACUCCGUGCCAGCCGCCGCCGUAA
rnacentral:rRNA from 1 species